UACGUAGGGACCAAGCGUUGUUCGGAUUUACUGGGCGUAAAGGGCGCGUAGGCGGCCCGCUAAGUCGAACGUGAAAUCCCUGGGCUCAACCCAGGAACUGCGUCCGAUACUGGCGGGCUUGAAUCCGGGAGAGGGAUGUGGAAUUCCAGGUGUAGCGGUGAAAUGCGUAGAUAUCUGGAGGAACACCGGUGGCGAAGGCGGCAUCCUGGACCGGUAUUGACGCUGAUGCGCGAAAGCCAGGGGAGCAAACGGG
rnacentral:rRNA from 1 species